rnacentral:lncRNA from 1 species
GUAUCGAUCCCAGAUGGAGCAUCCACCAGAGAUUGAAGGAUCGAGCAUCUAUAGGGUGCCGUUUUGUGGCACCCUGGCUCAAAGAAAACCGGAAUGCCCCGUAUUCUAGCCCAGAGAUCGAGGAGAAGUCUUCUGGAAUACGGCACUGCUUAGCAUAGAACAAACCAGCCUUCUAUUAGUACAUGAAUAUGAAUACAAGGUCUCCGAUAUUACAAUGAAUAACAUCGGUACGGCGACACUACGCCAUCGUCAGUCGCUCUAUGCAAGGAGCAGAAUAACUCGAAGCAGCGGAAUAACUCUAGCAGCGGAACAACGGCGACGGUGGUGAACUCCACUCCGCAGGGACUCUGGCUGGAACGCUGAUCCUAGCUCGCACGAACGGAAACCACGACAAGCAAGCAAUCAAAUCCGGCAUGACCUGCAAACUGGCAUGACACGCCAGGUCAGUACAUUGAAUGUACUUGCAAGCUCACAAUAAACCAGAAGCAUUCAAGACAAACAACAGCAUGGCAAUUACAGGUUAAACAGUAAUUAACAUGAUAUCAUCAGAAUAACAUCGCAUGACCAUCAUAAACAUGAUACAUCUAUCACAACAUGAUACAUCUAUCACAACAUGAACAUAUUAAUCCGACAAUACUAGCAUGCAACAUGAAACCACUGUAUGCACCACUUAUCCUGCUCGGGCUACCUCGUAAUCAACUCAUGCAUCACUUACCAACCUCGGACAUUACACGAUCAUCUCAGGAUCAAAUCAAGCUUGGUAUAAACAAUACCAUAGCGAUUAGUAAAUGAACACAAGGAGCUUGAUCUUUACCCACGACUCUCGUACAACAUAAUGAAUAUACAACAACUCGGUAUCCUCGAUACCACUGUGAUCCUUACGGCGAUCACCACCCGACCAACACUUGGCCCGUGAUCCUUACGGCGAUCACAACCCGACCACUACAUGGCCCAUGACCCUUACGGCGUUCACAACCCAACCAACACUUGGCCAACUUAUCUCAUUGUUAUUAAGCACAUUAUUAUUAUUUCUUUUGACUCAUGGUGUGACCUUCUCUCGACCUGGGCCCUUAUCCGUGGGCGCGGCUAUCGAUAGAUUAAUAUACACUCCGCAGAGGUUAGUACACUGUACCCUCACUACGGAACCCAUGGCCUCGGCCUCCCAUUCGGGUGGACCAACGGCGUUCCAAAAAAACCGAUCUAUUGUCAUGACACUCUCCCGGCCCUUCCGACUCAGACCCCACCGGGCUAGUCCUGGGUGGCCCCGUGUCUACCUCCAGACACCUCGACCACCGUUGUGGCCACGAUCCACACUGGGAUCCGAUACCAAAAUUAACUUAACAACGGGCUCACAAGGUUACGCUCCGCCUACCCGAUCAGGGUAGCACGCGCCCAAAACCUUCCCUAAAUUGAGGUAUCGACCAGAGGCACGACAAUAGACCCAGUUAGGACAGUCCCAUACCGGUGAGCGUGGUUGCACCGGUCAGCAUCGAUUUAGCGGCACCAUGACUCAGCCAACAGGUGUUCAAGUUCAAUUUAAUCCGGUUAACUUGAAUGCAAAUAUGCUGAGCCAUGAUAAAAUACAUGAACAUGAUAACAACAUCACCAUGAGAGUAUCACAUAACUUUCCACCAUAUCAACAAUAAAUCAUAUCCAGUGAGCAUCGCAUAUUGACUAGCAUGACCAUCCCCAACAUCAACAUGUACUACUAACCAACAUACUCAUACGAAAGGUAAUACUAGUAGGUAUAACAUGAUCACAGAGUAUAAGACAACAUAGCACAACAGUGAACAUGCAAAUCUGAACAUCACCAGAACAACGAUAACCAUCUUUUCAAUGAGCAAACAUUUAAUAAAUAUUCAAGUUGAAAACCAUGGCUAAUGCAUGACUAUCAUGCAAGUGGGUAUUGUGGCUUGCCUGGGGAUGAAGAAGACACCGGGGAGAAGUGCGGUGAAGCCGCGGAAAGAUUUGCCGGAAACGUUCUCUCUCGGAGGGGGCUGAUUAAGGGCAGGGAAAAAAUGGUCAUUUUCACAGUGUCAAACCAUAAGCAUGACCAACCGAACGGGCUCGAUGAAACGAAGAAGUGGGCGUUGGUUUCACCUCAUUUGGAGCUACGGAUAAAAAGAUAUAAGGGUUUGAAGUUCAGUGACUUUUCUGCAAAAAUAACAUCACAACCAUGUCCCUGAGUGGAUAAGACAGAAGCGGGUUUUCAGGAAUACGUUUUCGAUCAGUGAAAACGCCCUCACCAAAAGACGCUUCCACUUGCCAUGUCAACGUCGUCAAGUCAACGGCGGGGCCGGCUCCUGGGACGUUGACAGGCGGUUCCCGCGCGCAGGGGGGGUCCAGGCGCGCUCGUCUUCUUCCUCCUCUCCCUGCCCCCGACCGAAGCAGAGGCAGGGGCGCUGCCGGCGCAGGCCCCGGCGACUCCGGCCACCUCCGGCCAAACGGAGGCCACUAGCGAGCUCGGCGUGGACUGCCGCAUCCAUCCCCGCACAGAGGAGACGCCGGAGAGGAGCGGGGUAGCCACGACGAGGAAGGGACAGAACCGGCUCCGGCGUCCGCGAUCUUCGGGGACGACGGCCACAGCGGCUCCGGCGAUGGGCUGAGAUGGCAGGGAGGGUCUACGAGGACUGGGUGGAGCUCUGGUGGUGGUAGAAUGGAGAGGGGGGCUCGGCUUCGGCCGAAUUUAGACCGGAGGGGGCGGCGGCCAUGGCAGCAAUGGCGAGCAGGGAGGGCUCCAAAGGCUCGGGGAAAGGGCUCCGCGGCUCCUGGGGGAAUGGUGAGGUCGAUGCGGCGCUCGGGAGGCCGUGGGGAGGGCCAUUUAUAGGCGGGGCGAGGAGGGGAGGCCGUGGCACGUCCGCAGCUACGUGUCCGUGCUCCGGCGACGGGCACGCGCGGCCAAGGGUCACGGAGAGGAGUGGCAAGGAGACGAGGGAGGUGCGGACGAGCGGCAGAGCAUCACGGGGUCCAGGGGAGCAGAGGAAGAAACGGCCGAAAGCCAUUAAUGCAUGUCGGGGCACUGCUCACCCGUGGGCGCUCGUCGGCGAGCGUCGGUGAUCUAUCUUCCGGAUGGGGAGAGGGGUCCAUCAGCGCAGCAACGACGAGAGCUACCUACUGGACAUGCUCACGGGCACGAAGACAGCGAGAGGGGGAGGGGCCCGAGCACAAACGGCCACUGGACGCGCUCAUGGCAUGCCAAAACGGUGGUCACCACCAGUUCUGGCAUGUCCGUGAGGCAAACAGAUGGAAACUAAUGUCUAGGGCUUAGUCCUUCGAAUGUAGGUUUGUAUUGAGGUGGUAACUAGGUUAAAGAAACUCUGGUUAAAAAGUUAGUGAGAUCUGAAGUUUACUACAGUAAACUUUACCAGCUCAAUGUGGUCAACUGGGAAUUAGUGGAGGCCGAACAAGAUGUCUGGGGUGUUUAGGAUGGGAAGGACUACAGUCCUGGAGGUUGUUUUGGGUAAAAGGAUCAAGAUUUACUGCGGUUGCUUCACAACUGCACACUUGGUCCAGAAAUGAAGAUCAGGAUUUUGCAGUCGCAUGGAGUGUCCAAUUGAGCUAAAAUUGGGCAAGGCUUAGAAAUUUGGUCAUAUGAUGAUGCUUUAAAAAGAUCAUUACGAAUGGACAAACCAAAAUAGCACUUGCUUCACAAACAUCUCCUCUGGACAGAAACUUGAAAUAAUUAUGGUGAUCAAAUGGCUCAAUGAAAUGAUGCCAAAAUUGGUGGAGAGAUGUUAUAUGGGUAUAAGAAUGAUCUGAAAAUUUAUCAGUAUUUUUAAAGCAAUAUAAAAUAUACUUGCUUCACAACCUGAAAAUAUUGCCAGAAUCAAAUAUUUGCUCCUGUGCUCACAUAGAUAAUUGUAUGGGUCUACCAAUGGGUGUAAGGGGUUAAUAUGAGCACAUUAAGGAGUGUGCAAAAGUUCAACUCAUUUGGGUACUCCUAGCUAGUACUUCCUUCACAAAGCCUUCUGUCAGACAGAAACUUUGAAACUUCACUGAGGAAGAUUGGCUAGGCAAAUAAAUUUGAACUUGUGCAUGGGGCAAUUAUUUGGACAUAUAAACAUGCCCAAAAAGGUUGGCAGUCAAUAGGAGAAAUAUAAAUGACACUUCCUUCACAAAGUGCCAUUCAGGGCAGAAUAGGAAAUGAAUUACUAGGCAAUUAUUUUUGAACAUGGAAAUGAAAAGUUUUGCCAUAUUUGGUCAGGAUAUGACCCAAAAAAUUUAUGAGAAUUAUUUGGGAAUUUUAGGAGUGAGGGAAAUAUAGGUUGCUUCACAACCUAGGGCAAUUGGAGUUAUUCCUUUAAUAGAAAAGGAUUAUUCCCAAUAAAAAUAAUAUUGGGAUUUGGACUAGGAUGGAAAUGGAAAGAUCUAGGGAAGGAUUUUGGAAUUACAAGCCACUCUAGAAACAAAGAAGAGGGCAUCUUCUUCAGUUUCCAGACCACAAAGCCACGGAAAAAGACAACUCAGGCAAAAACCUCGGAAAAACAAAAGAAAAAGAAAGGGCCAAAAAUCAGGCUGUGACAAACCUUACCCCCUUAAAUAAAUCUCGUCCUCGAGAUUUGGUUGCUCAGGGAACAAUAUGAAUAUUCUGACUUAUGGAAACCGUUUCCAACUCGGGUAUCCUUUUUUCCUUUAUUGUUGUUCCAUUAAAUUUUUAUCUGACAGGCCUUGGGGUGGUUUGCUUCAUUGUAUCCACAUUCUGACAGAUCUUACCUGGCUUGCUCAUGCCUAUAUAGGCUCCAAUUUAUUUUUAGACCUGCUGACUAGUUGACUGUGAUUUAAUUAUCACGACUGAAAUAUAUGUCCGUCUCACAAAUCCAAAAGUGAUUUCCGCUGGGUGUGCCAUCCGGCACUGACAACCUUUCAUGUAAUGAUGAUCAGAAUUUUCUGAUGAAAGCUCAAGCUCUAACUCAUCACAUUGGGUUUCUCCACUAAAUGCAGGUCCUUUGGUUUCCAAACAGUGAGUUAAAACAUAACCGUUUCCUGACGGAUUCUGACUCAUCGCAGAAGUUUCUGAAUCAUCUUAACUGGUUCCAUUGUCGUGAGUAUCGGAUCCGUACCAAAUAUUUGAUUAUCUCCUGACGCAGCCAGCAUAAAGAGUUUGCCUGUAUGAUAAUAUCUGCCGACUUGACUGACGGUGGUUCUGACGGAAAAAAUUUGUUCACGACAGGCUAUCCACGAUGGUUCAUAUAAGUGAGGACUCAGGCUUCUAGACUGUUAUUCCUCAUGCCAAUUACUCAUGCUGCAUCACUCGUCUGGCUCCUUCAUUAUUGUUUUCUUGGUCUGGAUCCUUGGAUGAAAGAGCUGGGUCAUAUUGCCGCUUCGUAUGACCAUACGUACUAUCGGUGCAAUUUUUCGGCAAUCGUAGCUUAUCCUUGUUUUUCUGAUAAGGUCACCCAUUAAAUGGCAGGUUCAACACCUCUCAAGUUCUGAUCGUUCGGAAAUGACCAUCUGAAACCCUUGCAAGAAAUCGGCAAAUAAAUCAGUAGCUACCAGAACGGUCGUUACAACUCAGAUCUGGGACAUUACUGAAAUAACUCAACCACGACUUAGGACGGCCGAAAAGCAGCUCAGAGCAUGAGACCGGGUCGAUAAGAAGAAGGUAGCAGCUCCCUAAAAUAGCCAAAAAAUAGUUAUAGGGCUACUAUCACAAAAAGAAACUCAACAGUUGUACGAGACGGCCGAAAAGCAGCUCAGCCUCGUGACAGUCGUUGAAGAGAGAAACAAAAAUUGGCAUCCACCCCGGAUAGCUAGAAACAGCUCAGAUCACAGGCAUGGUGCCAUCAUUGGAGAAAAGGGGAUAGGGGCUCAUCAGGAUCAUUUUCCAGCUUCAUGGGUACUUGCAUGGAGCUCAUUGAUGUCGUCAAUCCUCAUAAUCCUUUGUCACACUGCGGUGUAUACUGGCUUUCUUCUAUUAACCAUCCUUACUCGGUUAUCAGACCCUCAUCCGAGUGACUUGUAAGAUCUUGNNNNNNNNNNNNNNNNNNNNNNNNNNNNNNNNNNNNNNNNNNNNNNNNNNNNNNNNNNNNNNNNNNNNNNNNNNNNNNNNNNNNNNNNNNNNNNNNNNNNNNNNNNNNNNNNNNNNNNNNNNNNNNNNNNNNNNNNNNNNNNNNNNNNNNNNNNNNNNNNNNNNAUCUGAUUCCCGAGACAGAUGUGUAUUCUCACUGAUUCUUGCUUCUGACCAAAAUGUUGCGGAUCUGAUUCUUGGGAUUCAUAUGCUGUAAAUUCACAGCAUACUACCUUGUACCAAUGUCUUACUGAGGAAAAUUCGCUGGCUUGUGCUCGAAACUUACAUCGAACAGCUUGCUAAAGAAGACUGGGUAUCGUGCUUCAGAAGCUUACCCCCUUAAAGACUUUGCUGGGGAAAGACUUGGUACCUUAUGCCGGAAGCUUUUGCGGUUGCUUACUGAAGAAGACAGAGUACCUUGCAUGGGGAAUUAUCCACGUAUCAUACUGAGGAAGAUAGAUGAAUCUUGGCUUGGAAACUUCUCUGGUAUCUUGCGAGGGAAGAUUGGGUUGCUUACACCAGAAGCUUCUUAUUGUGAUAUGCGGACCGAUCUCCACAUAUAUAACCAUCUGAAUAUUUCUAAUGUUGGUUUCUUGUAUGAAACAAGAUUUUGCAGGACUAUUCUCCUUUCCGAGUAUAUGCCAUAUUUUUGUUUGCUUCCAGGUACAUCGAGUUCCAAAAUCAUCCUCAAUGAAAAAUUAAACUUGUAUGUGAGCCAUACCUUUGAUAAUAUUCUGUCAACCUUGCACACAAUUUAUCUUCUUGCUGAUUUAAUCAUUUUGUUGUGAUGAGUGCACGCUAAUGCAAACUUGAUACUGACGGUCCAUCCAGGAUUUUCUUUUGCAUCCAGACAAGAUAUUCCCAAUUUCACUGCAGUCAGCUGAUAAUUCCAUUCUGUUUAGCUGAGUUUCCAAAUAUAUGCAUUUCUUGCUGACUCUUCGGGUCCAGUGUCAGUUGACAAGCAACUUUAAUAGGGGAAAAUUUGUAACACUAAAGGCCCAAAUAAAGGAACAACAGAAAUGACUAAACCAAAAGCACACAAGCAUACUACUAUUGUAAUCAAUCAAGCAAUCAUCACAUAUUACUGCUACUCACACAAUAAUAUGCAUGCACACCUAAGCACACAAAUCUCACAGAAACUCCGGUACUGCGAUCUAAUAUGUUGUGACGAUGUGCACGAGGAUGAAUAAAUGUGUGGAAGAAUUGGUGUAAACAGCGCUACACCAAGUGCUAGUUUAGCCAGGUGACAACCUGAACUAGCUCGGAGGCGAGGACGUACUCGGUAAUCAUGCAGUAGGACACGAAGGUCGCAACCACAUUAUUAUCAAGCGGACGGAAAAAGAUCCGUGCUCGUCCAAGAAAUAGGAUAGCGGGGAAAAACUGAGGCUGCUGACAUUGCCCUUUCUUGAUAACUAAGAUCAUUAAGGGUUGCCAACACGACAAGAUAAAAGAACGAUCCGGGAUAGGAGCAUGUCCAUCACCGAAAUGAUAUACGGGACUAAAAGAAAGAAAUCGGUGUGAUACCUGAGCACCAUUUUCGCAAACAGUGCCGGGAUCACUUGGCAUCACUCUACUGGGACAGAAAUGACACAAAACACCAAAGGAAAAAAGGGGACUGGAGAAAUGCAAAGGUUGAGCUGUAGUGGAUCCGAACCGAUGCCAGCUACACUCACCAGAUAAACCGUUAGCGACUAAAUAAUAAUUUAUGCAUGCUAUGCGACAAACAAAUGCAACAAUCAAUUGCAACAAAUAAACUGGGGUCUAUACUACCGCUUUCUAGCGUUCGCGCGGUCUAGGGCGUCCUACAGCCAGACCUGCUUUGAUACCAAGCAUUGCGGCACCCCGGCUCAGAGAAAACCUGAACGGCCCAUAUUCCAGCCCAGAGAUCAAGGAGAAGUCUUCUGGAAUACGGCACUGCUUAGCAUAGAACAAACCAGCCUUCUAUUAUUACACGAAAAUGAAUACAAGGUCUCCGAUAUUACAAUGAAUAACAUCGGUACGGCGACACUACGCUAUCCUCAAUUGCUCUAUGCAAGCAGCAGAACAACUCGAAGCAGCGGAAUAACUAUAGCAACGGAACAACAGCGACGGUGGUGAACUCCACUCCGCAGGGACUCUGGCUGGAACGCUGAUCCUAGCUCGCACGAACGGAAACCACGACAAGCAAGCAAUCAAAUCCGGCAUGGCCUACAAACUGGCAUGACACGCCAGGUCAGUACAUUGAAUGUACUUGCAAGCUCACAAUAAACCAGAAGCAUUCAAGACAAACAAUAGCAUGGCAAUUACAGGUUAAACAGUAAUUAACAUGAUAUCAUCAGAAUAACAUGGCAUGACCAUCAGAAACAUGAUACAUCUAUCACAACAUGAACAUAUUAAUUCGACAAUACUAGCAUGUAACAUGAAACCACUAUAUGCACCACUUAUCUUGCUCGGGCUACCUCGUAAUCAACUCAUGCAUCAGUUACCAACCUCGGACAUCACACGAUCAUCUCAGGAUCAAAUCAAGCUUGGUAUAAACAAUACCGUAGCGAUCAGUAAAUGAACACAAGGAGCUUGAUCUUUACCCACGACUCUCGUACAACAUCACGAAUAUACAACAACUCGGUAUCCUCAAUACCACUGUGAUCCUUACGGCGAUCACCACCCGACCAACACUUGGUCCGUGAUCCUUACGACGAUCACAACCCGACCACUACAUGGCCCGUGAUCCUUACGGCGAUCACAACCCAACCAACACUUGGCCAACUUAUCUCACUGUUAUUAAGCACAUUAUUACUAUUUCUGUUGACUCAUGGUGUGACCUUCUCUCGACCUGGGCCCUUAUCCGCGGGCGCGGCUAUCAAUAGAUUAAUAUACACUCUGCAGAGGUUAGUACACUGUACCCACACUACGGAACCCAUGGCCUCGCCCUCCCAUUCGGGUGGACCAAUGGCGUUCCGACAAAACCGAUCUAUUGUCAUGACACUCUCCCGGCCCUUCCAACUCAGACCCCACCGGGCUAGUCCUGGGUGGCCCCGUGUCUACCUCCAGACACCUCGACCACCGUCGUGGCCACAAUCCACACUGGGAUCCGGUACCAAAAUUAACUUAACAACGGGCUCACAAGGUUAUGCUCUACCUACCUGAUCAGGGUAGCACGCGCCCAUAACAUUCCCUAAAUUGAGGUACCGACCAGAGGCACAACAAUAGACCCAGUUAGGACCAUCCCAUACCAGUAAGCGUGGUUGCACUGGUCAGCAUCGAUUCAGCGGCACCAUGACUCAGCCAAUAGGUGUUCGAGUUCAAUUUAAUCCGGUUAACUUGAAUGCAAAUAUGUUGAGCCAUGAUAAAAUACAUGAACAUGAUAACAACAUCACCAUGAGAGUAUCACAUAACUUUCCACCAUAUCAACAAUAAAUCAUAUCCAGUGAGCAUCGCAUACUGACUAGCAUGACCAUCCCCAACAUCAACAUGUACUACUAACCAGCAUACUCAUAUGAGAGGUAAUACUAGCAGGUAUAACAUGAUCACAUAGUAUAAGACAACAUAGCACAAAAGUGAACAUGCAAAUCUGAACAUCAUUGGAACAACGAUAACCAUCUUUUCAAUGAGAAAACAUUUAAUAAAUAUUCAAGUUGAAAACCAUGGCUAAUGCAUGACUAUCAUGCAAGUGUGUAUUGCCUGGGGAUGAAGAAAACACCGAGGAGAAGUGCGGUGAAGCCGCGGAAAGAUUUGCCGGAAACGUUCUUUCUCGGAGGGGGCUGAUUAAGGGCAGGGGAAAAAUGGUCAUUUUCACAGUGUCAAACCAUAGUGAAAGCAUGACCAACAGAACGGGCUCGACGAAACGAAGAAGUGGGCAUUGGUUUCACCUCAUUUGGAGCUACGGAUUAAAAGAUAUAAGGGUUUGAAGUUCAGGGACAUUUCUGCAAAAAUAAC